AUGAAAAAUGUAAAUACACACUUGUUUUUAAGUAGUCUUUUUUCACUAGAUAUUUGGUUACCUCUUUAUACUUAAAAUAUUUUUAUCCCAAUGAAUGAAUCCUUGUGCAUGUUUUAAAAGAUACCUUACUUUUAAUUUUUCUUAUUGUAACAGUUAUAUUCAUUGUAGAGAAUUUAGGAAAUACGGAUAAACAUAUUAAUAACUUAAAAUGGCCUCUAAUCUCACCUAGACAUACAGUUAAAGGUUUGAAAUUGAGAAUUACAAGUCCUCUCACAUUGUUCUUCUUUUUCAAGUACGUUUUGGUUACUGAGACCCUCGAAUUCCCAUAUGAAUUGUAGCAGCAGCUAGUCAGUUUCUGCAGAGGAGACCGCAGGGAUUGUGAUCGAGACCACGUUGAAUAUACGGAUCGUUCUGGGGAGCACUGCCAUUCCAAGAGCGCUGUCUUCUGAUCCAGCAAUGUGCGUGGUUUGUCCAGGUGAUAAUGCUCUGGCUGCUGAAUGUGCCCUUUCCCCAGACUUGGUUUUGGAGUUAAGUCACCAUCAGUGGAGCCCUCUCUUUAAAAGAUGAAGAAAACAUUUGCUCCUUCUCCCUGGUUGGGGACUUGGAUGAGAUGAGAGUUCUACAUAUAGAUGGUUACAUUCUGUACCUGGAAAUUUCUACAAAAUUUCUUCCCACGUGAGUCCCAUGACUCGGGAAUGGGGUGGUUCUGCUCAUUGACUUGGGUUGGCCAGAAACCGAAAAUGACAGCUUCAAAGGAGCCUGGGAUUUGUCAGUUAUGUUUUGUCAGUACUGUAGAGUUCAAAAAAUGCUUUCACAGUAUCUCUCCAUCUGAGGCGGCAGCGUGCUCUCUUACCAGCAUCAGGAGCUCAGGGCCACGGGAUGGUGGGGGCUGACUGCAUUGCCGUCAAGACAGCUGAGCUAGUCACUGCAGGUGCCCUCACCUCCAGUAGCAUCCAUCCAGACACCGGAACUGACACUGGCCGUGCUCAGAACUGCCUCAGCCCUGAAGACACAACUGACAAAUAGAAGAGGACCACGCCCUGUUAUAGCAGGUGCUCGCACUUUGUGGAUCCUUAUGUAACUGAGCGGUGUUAAUCAGGAUUGCCCGUUCUACAUUGUGUGGCGCUGCUGCGGUGUCUCCUAGUUACUUGUUUCUCUCGAUUUAUUCACUCAGGGGUAUAUCAUGGACGUUCUCCCACUCCAGACUCACCCGGCCCUUUCAGAUAGAUUGGAAGGGUCUCCUGAUGUGCGGGUGUCGUCUCUUGUCCACGGACACAUUUGGUGGGAGAGUGCUGUGGACAAGGCCCUGGACCACGGCGAAACGCCGGCUCCCUCAGUACCCGCAGCUCGCCUUGAUUUACCGCAUCAUUGUCUUGAUGGUGGACAGUUAAGUUUUCUCCAUUUUCCACUGCCAGAAAGAAUGUUUGAGUUGCAUCCUUCUUGUACAGACAUUCCUGUGAUCUUGUAUGUGUAUUUCUUUAGUUAAGGCUUCUGGAAAUUUAGUCCCUGGAUGUGACAUUUACAUUCACCACAGACUCCUUUCAAGUGACUAGAAAUUCCUUCUCCAUUGGGGAAUGAAAAAAUGCACAAUUACUUAUGUAACCAAUUCUCUAUCGCUGGAUAUGAUUUCACUUCAGUUUUUCUUCCCACCUUUGUAAACAGUGCUGUGUAAAUGCCCUGAUGGGUACAUCUUUUUGUACUGAUUUUUUUUCCUAAAGGAAACGAUUCCUAGAAGUGGAGUUGAGUCAGUGUGUAUGUACGUUUUUCAGAGCUUACAAAUCCAUUGAUAUGUCAUCCUCUGAAAAAGUCGCUCAUGAUUUGUUCUCCCACAGAUGGACACUAGCUAGUAUAUCUUAAAAAUAUUUGCCAAUAUGAUAAGCAAAAGUGCUUUUUCAUUGUUUUUGUUUGCAUUUGAUGACCAGUGAAGUUUUGAGCAUUUUUCACUCAUUAGCCAUUUGACUUUUUUAAAAUGAAUGAUUCCUUUUGUCCUUUGCCCACAUUUAAGUGAGGGAGCUUCUAGUUGCUUUGUGACAGCUUUUUGUAUGUUAUGAAAAUUAACUUCGUGAAUUCAUCAACAUGUAUCACAGAGCUUUUUCUUGUCAUUUCUUUCCUUUCAUGUUGUUCAGGAAUUUUUUUGAUUUUUGUUGUGGCUCAAACUAUUCUUAGGAUAGUAAAUGUCUUCCUUAUGGGUUUUAUCUUUGACAUUAUUCUUAGAAAUACUCUCUUAUAAUGGAAUAAAUCUCUUCUGUAGGUUUAUUUAAUCUCUAAGAUGGAGAUUAUAAUAGUACAUGUUAUAGUGAGGAGAAGUUGAGUUAAUAAGAGCAAAGAGUUGUAUUUGCUGUUACUAGUACUUUUUAAUAUUUACAUCGCUAUCUGCAAUUUAUCUUGUGGUCAUUAUGACAGGAAUGGAAUUUAUUCUUUCCAGGUGAUUCUCUGUCCCAGGACAAUUAUCGAAUUCAUAAUUUUCUCUUUGAUUUGAAAUCCCACCUGCACAAAAUACUUACAUACACUAGAGUCUUUUUUGAGCUCAUGGUUCCCUUCUGUCAAUCUCCUUUCCUUACUCCAGCACCAUAUCUUACAUGUUGUAAAAAUUUAUUUAAUAACUGGCAGUCUGAUUUUUUUUGAUUCUUUUCUUCCAUCCCAAAUUUUCUUGUCAAGUAUUAUGACUUUAUUAUUCCUGAAGAAUUCCAAAAUAUUUUGUUCAAGUUAAAAAAAAUCAGAUUGGAAUUUUCAUGGGAUUUUUUAGUAAGUUUUGAAUUAUUCUUAGGAGAACAUACAUCUUAACAAAACUGCUUUUCUCCAUGCAAUAUGUUUAUGUCUCUACAUUCAUACCUCUUACUUUAACCCUCAGUACAGUCCUGAAGUUUCUCCAUUUAGAAUAUGGGCAUUAUUUUUGAAUUUAUUCCAGAUUAUUGUUUAUGUUUUUGUUAAUUUUUUAAGUGAGAAUUUUUUGCUAUUAUAUUUUUAAAUGCUUAAAACUGACAUUUAGAAAGGAAGAUUCGGUUUGUCAAUACUCACUUUGUAACUUGUCAUUUAAAAUUGUAAGUAUUAAGUACUUGUUCCAGAAUCCUUUCUUUUCUGUUUUUUAAAAUUUGUUUCCAAGAUUCUCAAAAUGUUCAUAGCUAAGUAGUAUAGGUGGGGACACAGAUGGAGAGAGGAAGUGUGGCUCACGAACAAACUGUGAGCACUUUCAUGGGUGCCUUUAGGCUGGAGAAGCCACAGAAGAGCCCAGGUUAGACCAAGGGUGGCUUUGUAUGCACUUGAAAGCCAGCUUUCCUGCCUGUAUGGUGAAGCCUGGUGGGCGUGGCAGGUAGAUGAUCAAGGUCUGAUCAAGGUCAUUGGCUGCACAGAGCGCUGUGUCUGUGAGAACUGGAGACCAUUACCAUGGGAAAUGCUUGGUGCCAGGAACACUGCAGGGGAGCUGGGGGCCUGUGUGUUAAGGAUUUUCCAGCCCUGGGAGUGGGAAGAUGAGACUCUGCAUUCAGAUCUGAGUUUGAAUUCAUCCUCUCUUGUUUACUGGUCCUCUGACUUUUGUCAAGUUAUCUACCCGCUUUGAACUCCUGUUUUCUUGUCUCUCAAAACAGGAGAAUUACAGCCUGCUGCUAGAGUGUUUGCUCAGGGUAAAUGAUUUGUGUCUAUAAGAUGCCACGUACAGUCACAAUCUCAGUGAGAAAUGGGCUGUCGCCUCUUCGUCUGCAACUCAGUGCUCGAUAAGACAUCGGGGGAAAGCCAGUCCCUAAUUUGUAUGUGAUGCAAUGAGGAACAAAAUUAACGUCUUGCCUUUCCCUAGCAGUAUUCUUACUUCUUUGCUUCAUUUACCUCUUUCCUCCUUUACUCUCCCUUUUCACCUCCUCCACCAAAAGAGACUGAGUCUGUCUCAGAACACUACAUUCAAAUUACUUUAAAUGUUGGCUCAUCCCCAUGAAAUUACAGUGAAAUUAAAAAUAAUCUGUACACGUCCCAGAUAUGAUUAUAUUUGAUUUACACACACACACACACACACACACACACACACACACACACACACACAAAAUCAGGCUACCUCCCAUUUGCUGAGGGAGAAGGACCACUUUUUCUGAGUUUUCAUUCCCUGAGCGUGAGAGCAAUGUCUCUUAAGCAGAAAUUCGCCUGGCUUCUUGCAUGGUUUUUUAAAUUGGAUUUCUGCUUUUUGUCCACAGAAAUAGACUCCUAUUAGAAGAGGGGAAGUGGAGACAUAGAUAUUCUGCUGAGAUAUUGGUGUCAUCGUAUUUGAGUUGGAAAGAACUUACGACAGCAUAGAGUCGUACCUUUUUAUGGGUGAGAAUCCAUGAUAGUGUAACUUGGACAAGAACCCGGGUCUUCUGUCUUCAUGUCCACGCGGAUGAAGAGGCAACUGGGUGGGGGAUGGCAGGGACCCUUGCUUGAGUUCCGGGGUCUUGCUAGUUUCCAUUGUUCAGCUGCCUUUAGUUUAUGUCCAUGUGGCCUCUCAUGGGAAGGUCACUCUAUCCUGAUAGAUUGAGUUUCUAAUCAGCAAAAAGGUCUGGACCCACUCAUGUUUCCCAGAGAUUUUCUGCUGUCCUGCUGACACUUUAUAUACAUGAGACCUAAGAAACUGCUGGAUAUAAAAUCCUUAUUGUUAUCAUUUGCCCUCGAGUUCCACAGGAAUGGGGUGCUGUCUCAGGCUGUCUAAGGCCAGCUCUGAACAAAGAUAGUUUGAUAGGCUGUGCAGCUGGACACUCCCCAGUCGAAUGGGAUUUCCACCUUAGUUUUUAGAAUCAGGCAGAUUAGUUCAAAUCUUGCGUUUAGCAGUUAUUAGCUUUGUGACCUUGAGGAAGAAACUUUACGUUUUUGGGGACAAAUUUUCUUUAUCUGUAAAUAAGUUCAGUAUUUAUUUUAGGGUUUUUGUUUUAGAAUUGAAUGAGCUAAUUCCCUCAUUUAUUCCUAAAAUACUGAUCACAUGGUUCUAUGCUGGUGACUUAGUGGUUGAUUACUAAGGGACUCAGUAGUGAGAAUGUGGGUGAGGCUCCCUGGAUAAUAGAGCUUAUAUUCCAUGAUAUGCUUGUAAAAGACUGGAUUGCAGUGGAUUUUUAGUAAAUGUCCAUUCCUUUCCUAAUCCCCAUUGAUUGUGUAUAUAGCUUUAUACUAAUAUAUGAACAAUUUUUUAUUGCAAUUUAAGUCUUUUUGUAGUAAAGUAUGUAGCUAUAACAAAAAUACGUGAAAUAAAAUGAUUUGACUUUUAUUUUCUUUUCAAUAAGCAAAACAAAAUAAAAUAGAAUAGAAAAGAAAAAGUUUUGAAGGAGUAGAAAUAAUUAUAUUUCCGUGGAAUCGAAUCUCUAUGUUAGGUUUUUCCAUUGUGUUCUUAAACAGCAUAUAAAAUUGACAGGUUUUGACUUCAGUGUUGAUAGCUGGGUGAGCAUAGUUUCAUUUUGUGGUUGUCUUUGAUGAAUUAUUUGCACUAGAUCAUAAAUAAUGUGCAUGUUACAUAUUGGAAACGAGGAAAGAGUGGAGACAUACUACCUCCAAUGCAGUCAUUUUGUUACCGAGUCCAAACUCAUUCUGCUCACCAAAUGACAGGCCAAUAAACUGGGAGAUGAGGUGUUGGAGCAAGGAAUAGUGACUUUAUUUGCAAAGCUGGCAGACCCAAAAGAUGGCAGACUGAUGUCCUGGAGAACCAUUUUCCCCAAGUCAGAAUUGUGUCUCCUUUUAUACUAAAAAGGGGUGGGGCUGCAGUUGGUUGUUGGAAACUUCUUGUUGUAUGAAUUGCUUGUCCUUUGAAUCCGCUGUUCUUGCAGCUGUCCAUGUGGAUCAAAUCAUGUUGCCCCUGUAAAACCUCCAAAAAUAAAACAAAGUUAUUCUCUAUUUUGCAACUUGCCAUCUCUACAUAAGUGCAGAUUAGUUAGCAUCCUUCAAGAUCACGGCCAGGAGUAGAGGCUGUCCUAGAUAUUUCAGUCUAAAGGCAACUUUCUUUUACAAAUGUUGCAGAGAUAGCAAGUCUGAGCCUAGAAAACAGGGCACAGGGUUAAAGCCAAAGGAACAGACCUAACAUGGGGUCAAAAUUGUUCUUUUCUAUUACAAUUCCCUUUUCCACUUCAUAGAUAAUUUUAGUAAGAAACAUGAGCAAUUUUGUAUUUUUGCUUCUUAAUAACCGAUAAGUGGGCCAACUAUAUUUUUGUGAGUAGGGAUGCUGUGCGGGCAUAGGGGGUCACAGCAAACUCUUGUUGGGGGUGGCCGACCCUGGAAGAUGUCUGAUGCCCCGUGAGUGUUGGUGAGGGUCCCCCUAGCCAGCGGCUCUCUUCAGGAGCCAGCAUAUGGGCAUUGAUAUCUGGAGACCUCAUUUUCGGCUGCAGGAAAUUUUUUAGAUACUGCGAUUGAUAAAUCACUCCAGCUGGGGAUAAUUAGGGAAAAAAGGAAAAGGAAAAGGGUUUGGAGUAGAGUAGAAGAGAAGGACAUCAGAUCACGGAGCCUGAGUGCUUGGCAGCUUGGCUUCGGUGGAGAGGGGAGCAGACUUGGGGAGGGGCCUGGCCCCGGAACCAGCUCCUGCACCUGUCCCCGUGCCCUAGCCACAUAGCUUUUAAUUGGGCCACCUCUCUGGGCUGGAUGUCACCCUGGGCAGAAACUUGAGAAUCGAAGGUAAGGGGUGGGCAGCACUCACCUAGGGGGUCACUGUGGAUUUCGGUCAAGUCCACAGUGCCUUUUCUGGUCAUGUGUCUUCACUUGUCCUUUAUCUCAGGAUCUGAGGAGGAGGAGAAAGGAACUCAGGUAGAGAUCCAGGAAGAUAUCAGACUGUGUUAAGAGAGGACAGACACAGUGACACGGGGAGCGAGGACACUUGCAGCAAGUGUAAGAAUGCCGGUGACUGAGUUAGAAGCAUGCUCCCAAGCUGUCGGUGUCCUUGCCAAUCAGAAGCGGACACUGGAAGCUUCCAAAUUUUUCCAGAAUGCGUUCUACAUUCACCUUCGGCAGUUGGCCCGCCAUAUCUGUAGUUUCCACUUCAUGGAUCCAGAUGGCUGAUUGUAAAGGGACUCGAACAUCCUUGGAUUAUGGAAUCCAGGAUGGGGGGUUCCUGAAACCAACCCCUCGAGGAUACUAAGGGAUGACUCUACAUGUAGGAGUGAAAUUGCUGAGCCAUAUAACUCUAACCUUUUGAGGAAACAACAGACUUCUCCAAAGAAGCUGCACCAUUGUCCCUUUCCACUGGCCGCAUAUGAGAUACCCAGCUUUCCCUGCACCAUUUGUUGAAUAGACUAUUCUUUCCAUGGAGUGUUGUUGGCACCCUUGUGGAAAACUGACUGUAAAUAUAAGGAGACUGAGAAUUAAGUCUUCUCUCUUUGGGUGGAGCUCAUUAUCAAUGACGGGAAGUUGUAAGGAAAAAGAUAUUGUUUCAUCCUGAGAAAACAUUUUUCUGAGAGUCAGCAGUGAAGAAGGUGGACACUGAAGAAGAUCCAUCCCUUUUCUCUGCUCUUCCGGUCCAUCUGUCUCCCUCCACUUUUCCCCUCCUCUCCUCCCCCUCCCAUCUUCUCCCUCCCUCGCUGCCCCACCUUCUCUCGCAGAACCCAGAGUGGAUCGCUGGCCCUCCUGCGCAUGGGCAGUCGGUGCCAGCUGGACCGCGGGUUGGAAGCUCCAGCUCCGAGCCGGGGAUCGGCCCCAAAGGCUUCUCAGCUCUGUCGACCGGUAGGCCUUUAGCUCCUGCCCAGGGCCGGGGCCUCUGGCUGUGGAAGUGCAAGGUGGGGGGCUCCCGGGAAAGGGGUCAGGCGGCUGCGGGAGGGCGGUCGGCAUGUCACAGCCCCCCAGGUCGCCAGUCUGCCUGUGUUCAGCUGAAUUGCUCUGGCCAGACCCCUCUGCCCGCGCAACCUACCCCGGCGCCCCGGCCACACAUGUCCAUGGCCAGGUGUGCACCUGCAGCCCCUCACCCAGCCGGGCCCCCCUCAGUCCGUGGCUGGCGUCCCCUUCCCCUCUCCCGCCCGCUAGUCCUCUCCUCCCGGGCUGCCUCUCCUUGGCCGCCGGCCCGUCCCCGCCCCUGGGCGGGCUGUGUCCCGGGCGGGAGGGUUCUGCGGACCCGAACGGGGGCAGGCGGCUGGGGCUGGGGCUGGCCUCCGAGCGGGGCUGCAGCCCGCGUUUCCACCAACCCCCCACCCCCGCUUUCCCUGCCCCGCGACCCCGGGGCUGCCCUGCUCUUCCUUUCCUGCUCCCUGAGGACAAGCUCAGCGGCGUGGGCGCCGCUCCCUGGGCUGAGAGCCUCCGGCUGUAAAGCCCAGCUUCUGGUGGAGUCGGGAAAUUGGAUCCUCAGUGCUGAGCGAGCUUCUGUCUCCUCCCUCAGUGUUUCAGCCCCAAGGCCUGCAACAUGAGCAUCCCUGACUACGUGCAGUGUGCUGAGGACAAUGAGACUCUUCCCGUGGUGGUCAAACCAGUGGGGAUCAUCUCAGAGGAGAAUUUCUUUUGCAUCUAUAAGCGAAUAUCCUUGGUGAGCCAGAUCAGACCGUGCAGCUCCCAGGGCGCACUCUGUAUGCACUACAGGCACCACUAUGCGCCCAAGAAUGGAUGUAGCGUCUUCCAGACCCACCGCAUGGUUGUGGGCCUUGUCACCAUUACCGACUGCCUCUCGGCCAAGGCCUUCGAGAAGCUCCACGUGCAGAGGAGCUGUAUGGCAUCACGCUGAAUGACUCUCAGCUCUUUGUCUUUGUGCUGCAUGGGGAGGUAAGCCAAAGAGCCGCGCACCGACGUGGCCUUCAAUCUACGAGGACUGCAGGGUGGUGGAGAAGAGGAUCGAGGACUUCACUGAGUCACUCUUCAUCUUGCUCAAGUCCAAGUGGCUGGAUGGGGCCCCUGACAAGUCUGGGGACAAGAUCCCACUCCUCUGCAUGCCGUUUCAGAAGGAGGACUUCAUGGGAGUGGACCCAGACAGCAGGGCCCUGUGAUCUACAUGCCCGCGCUCCCCAUCUGUUCCUUGGAGAUGAGGUGUCAGGUUUAGGAGCCUGGGAACUGCUGAGGGCACAGCUGCCAGCACCGUGCUACACCGAGGCUGGCUCCGUUCACCCCACAUGUCACCUCCUGCUGAUCCACCAGGCGUCAGUCAAGUACGUUUUGGUUACUGAGACCCUCGAAUUCCCAUAUGAAUUGUAGCAGCAGCUAGUCAGUUACUGCAGAGGAGCCCACUGGGAUUGUGAUCGAGACCACGUUGAAUAUAUGGAUCGCUCUGUGGAGCACUGACAUUCCAAGAGCACUGUCAUCUGAUCCAGGAAUGUGCGUGGUGUGUCUGUCCAGGUGCCCUCACCUCCAUUGGCAUCCAUCCAGACACCAGCACUGACACUGGCCGUGCUCAGAACUGCCUCAGCCCUGAAGACACAACUGGCAAAUAGAAGGCGGCCACGCCCUGUUACAGCAGGUGCUCUCACUUUGUGGAUCCUUAUGUAACUGCGUGGUUUUAAUCAGGAUCGCCCGUUCUACAUUGUGUGGCGCUGCUGCCGUGUCUCCUAGUUAUUGUUUCUUGUUAGAAUGCCGGUGACUCAGUUAGAAGCGUGCAUCCAAGCGGUUCUUCCUUGUCAUCACCAUCUGGAAGUGGAACCUGAAUCUUCUGAAUUUCUCCAGAAUGUGGUUUACAAUCACCUUCGACAAGUGGUUGUGUGUCCUCUUACAAGUGGAGGUUUUACUGCCGUUUUCCUGGAACUUACUCACCACUAGUCCAUCUGAUUUUUCUGUGCUAGGAUUCAGUAUGGCCUGCUAAAAAUUCUGCAGUCAGAUCUUGAAACCCUGAUGAAGAGGAUUAUUUUAUUUUUUAUAUGAUAGUCUUUUACUUUCAAAAUUCAGAAUUUUCUGUUCAUUCACUUUUUAGGGUGGAUUUGGAGAAACAACUUUGCUCUUGCUGUCCUUGCGACCUGUUGCUUUAUGCCUCUAACCCGUCUUCUGUCACUUUUUAGGCGGUUCUAUUCGUGACCCUGUCCAGGUUGUUCAUAUUAUAAAACAUAAAGUCUGUGAAAGUACAGUUCCUUUUAUUCUGAAAGCAUUCCACAGAUACCACUGAAAUCUGGGUGUGGUUUUAAGAAGACAGAAGUAUUAGAACAUGUACUUGCAGGUUGCUAGUGCAAAAUCCCCAAAUCAAAAGUCUAGUUAAAUAUCUAACAUCUUUCUAAUCUACCUUGGAUUUGUAUGGAUAAGUGAAGCAGUUUGCUAAGAACUCAAGACCAGGGUUAGAAUACAGGCUUGUGUAGCUCAGCAGGUCCUCCAGAGGUGAAGCUCUGCCAGAGGGUGGGGCUGAGGGGAAAGGGCGGGUCCUCCCCUCCCUGAGCUGAUAGUUUCAUGGCAAAGACCUUCACCAGGUGAAGAACUUGGAGUUUCUUCUAAGAACAGUGGGUUUGAAAAGAGUCUUAAAAGCAUGGGAGUGACAGAAUCCCAUUUGUGUCAAGUAGGGAAAAGUGGCUGGGGGGCCACUGGGAGACUCAUGAUUCCAUGUGGGAAGUAUUUGUGGCUUCCACCUGAGAAGUGGGACGGUCAGUGGGAAAAAGCGAACAGAUUGAAGUCAUGUUAGAUGGUAAAAUGAAAGGAUGAAUGAUGUCUGUGUGGGUAGGAUGGAGUAAGGCCAGGGUUUUUGGGUGGAUUAAUACGGUAAAUGAUGGUCCUGCUGCCCUCUGAGGAGGGGAAGCUGCAGAGGGAGUUCUGCGGGAAAACUGAUGAGUUCAGCUGUGGGUAAAAUGAAAGGCUGUUAGAUGUGUGGUCUGGGAGUUCAGGUGAGAGCCAGUAGUGGGUAGGGGGCAGGGGAGAGAGACCUUCAAAUCAUUUUACCUUGUGAAUAUACAAAAAAGUGUGAGUAAUACACUUAUGCCUCUAUAUUCUGGAUUUAAAACCCAUUAACAUUUUGCUAUAUUGACUGCAGAGGUUCUUAAUUCUUUUAAUACAAAUAAAAUAAAUAGAAGCAAAAUAGUGGAGUUAAUGAAAAUCUUAGAGUUGACGUGUGUCCUUGUAUGUAUUUUGAUACCUCAUCUGUUUAUAACCAUAAUCUAUUAAAAGUUAAGUAGUUUAGCAUAAGAGUUAAACAGAGGGACGUGACACACUGUUGGGGGUUGAAGCUGAUCUUCUCGGGCAAAUUAUGUCGCCUCUCUGUGCCUUAGAUCCAUCUUCUGUGACUUCCCCCGGGCCCCUCAUCACAGCUGAUUUCCUAGAUUAGAAGUUGGGAGGGAGGCUGCUGUAGGGAGAGAGAAGUGGCAACUGCCACGGACCCUGACGAGAGAGACAAAAACAGAUUAAAGCCGAUAAACUGAGUACAAACAAAUACCCUCCAAAGAGAAAGAAUCCCAAAGUCUUUUGAGCCACUUAGCGUAAGGGAAACAAAACCACGUGGACCCAAACUUCUUCAGUAUGUGAGUAUUGUGGGUGGAAAUGUGUCAUCAGAAUAGAUUUGAGAAAAGGCGAUUUGGUUUCCAUUGAUGUUUCCGGUAAGGAUGGACAGCAGAAGGAAAACCCCCCCGCUUCAAAGUGAAAGCUGCUAUUUUGUGUGAAACUGACCAAAGGUUGGAAAGCAGUCAUCAUCAGUGCUGGCAAGUGAACAGCCUUCUGGAUUGGGUGGGGCACGUACUGUGACUUCCUGGUGACAUGCUGGGUAGGGGCUGGGAGAUGGGCAGUAGUUCUGCCUGGUGACCCGGGCAUAAACCUGGGCUCUGAAGCUGCUGGUCUGACUAGCAGAACUGGGCACAAGCAUUCUUAAUGGGGCAGCUCGGGAUGUGGCCUGGGACACCUGCCAUGCUGAGGGCGAGAGGAAGGCUCCCUUGAGGGGGUGUCCUGCAGAGAGUGGAAAAAUCCACCUGCAGGGACGGAAGAGCCUCUGAGCAGGGUGCCGGAUACACAGGCAUGACUGGCCUGAGCACGGAGGUUUCGGUGAGCCGGAAGUCAUACAGUGGCCGGAGCAGCCUUUUUCCUGAGAAACUGGAGGGAAAAGAUGUUGAAAAGGCAGCCUGCGGACAGACACUGUGGUGGGUUAUCAGUGACCGGAAAGGACUGGUCAGGCAGGCACGAGAGAACACUGUGAGCAUCCCAGAUGGGGCGUCACGCUGAAGGGAGGAGCAGGGUUAUAUACUUUGCCACUUAUUAGCUGUGUGACUUUGAGCAAGAUCACC